rnacentral:rRNA from 1 species
CCGCAUAAUAUUAAUUAUUGCAUGAUAAUUGAUUGAAAGAUGCAAGCGCAUCACUAGUAGAUGGACCUGCGUUGUAUUAGCUAGUUGGUAAGGUAAGAGCUUACCAAGGCGACGAUACAUAGCCGACCUGAGAGGGUGAUCGGCCACACUGGGACUGAGACACGGCCCAGACUCCUACGGGAGGCAGCAGUAGGGAAUCUUCGGCAAUGGACGAAAGUCUGACCGAGCAACGCCGCGUGAGUGAAGAAGGUUUUCGGAUCGUAAAGCUCUGUUGUAAGUCAAGAACGUGUGUGAGAGUGGAAAGUUCACACAGUGACGUAGCUACCAGAA